rnacentral:misc_RNA from 1 species
GGAAGUAAAAGCGUAACAAGGUUUCCGUAGGUGAACCUGCGGAAGGAUCAUUAAAGAGUCAGGGUCUUCGGGCCCGAUCUCCAACCCUUUGUUUAACUACCAUGUUGCUUUGGCGGGCCCGUCUCACGACCGCCGGAAGUUUGGCUUCGACCAAACUUCUGGCCCGUGCCCGUCAGUGGCCCCUUCAAAUUCUUGAUCAAGUAUGAUGUCUUAGUUAAAAACUUAAUAGUUAAAACUUUCAACAACGGAUCUCUUGGUUCUG